rnacentral:rRNA from 1 species
CCUACGGGAGGCAGCAGUGGGGAAUUUUGGACAAUGGGGGCAACCCUGAUCCAGCAAUGCCGCGUGAGUGAAGAAGGCCCUCGGGUUGUAAAGCUCUUUUGUCAGGGAAGAAACGGUCUACUCUAAUACAGUGGGCUAAUGACGGUACCUGAAGAAUAAGCACCGGCUAACUACGUGCCAGCAGCCGCGGUAAUACGUAGGGUGCAAGCGUUAAUCGGAAUUACUGGGCGUAAAGCGUGCGCAGGCGGUUUUAUAAGACAGAGGUGAAAUCCCCGGGCUCAACCUGGGAACUGCCUUUGUGACUGUAAGGCUAGAGUGUGUCAGAGGGGGGUAGAAUUCCACGUGUAGCAGUGAAAUGCGUAGAUAUGUGGAGGAAUACCGAUGGCGAAGGCAGCCCCCUGGGAUAACACUGACGCUCAUGCACGAAAGCGUGGGGAGCAAACAGGAUUAGAUACCCUGGUAGUCCACGCCCUAAACGAUGUCUACUAGUUGUCGGGACUUAAUUGUCUUGGUAACGCAGCUAACGCGUGAAGUAGACCGCCUGGGGAUACGGUCGCAAGNUUAAAACUUAAGGAAUUGACGG